rnacentral:misc_RNA from 1 species
GACAGAGGGUGCGAACGUUGUUCGGAAUUACUGGGCGUAAAGCGCGUGUAGGCGGUUCGGAAAGUCGGAUGUGAAAGCCCUGGGCUCAACCCGGGAAGUGCACUCGAAACUUCCGAGCUGGAGUGCUGGAGAGGAAGGCGGAAUUCUCGGUGUAGAGGUGAAAUUCGUAGAUAUCGAGAGGAACACCGGUGGCGAAGGCGGCCUUCUGGACAGUAACUGACGCUGAGACGCGAAAGCGUGGGGAGCAAACAGG